AUGAGAUGUCCUGUGAAAAUAAUGGACAACAUGAAGGCAAAGAACAACGUUUCCUCCUUCAACUCCGUUAUUGUUGUUCAUCAGUCAAAGGACUUUAGUUCAUCAGCAACACAGUUUAUAAACCAACACAACUACCACUGCUGCUGCUGUCAGUCCCAGAACACAGUAGAGGACGAUCAUUCCCGGACUUGCUGUGUCCGGUCUCUCAGGUUCUGGUCGAGCCCUCGCUGCUGUAAAGAGACCAAACAACAGAACAGCAGAAGUUGUGACAUAUUUAUCAGAUUCUGUGAGAAUGAAGUGAAGGAUUGUGGUCGUCCUCAAUACUUUUCUUCAGGUUCUUAUUGAUUCAAAAAAGCUGCUGAAUUGAACCUGUUAAUAAAGUUCUACUGACUUCUACUCAACCAACUUACCAGAGACGUUGAGCCGACAUUCACCAAAGUCCACACCAUAGUUUGUCCUCACAUCACACAGGUACUGUCCUGAGUCCUCAGUCCUGAGUCUGGACACAUGAAGUCUGAGUCGUCCGUCUCUGAGGACGUCUUUGUCCCACUGGACUCGUCCAACAAACUGUUGAUCCCGAGACUCUGGGAUCACAACACCUCCACGUAUUUCAAACAGGACUGACCAGUGACCAGUGGUCAUCUGACAGAAGAUAUAAAGUGAGUCGGGGGAAGUGUCAGCUGUGGUUGUGAACGUCCAUUCCAGUGUGAUGUUGUGGUUCUCCUCUGCCUGAUAGGAGGUCUGUGUCACAUUCACUACAAAUGUUCCUGUUGAGGAGACAGAGAGGGAAAGUGAGGAGCAGACACACUGACAGCUUUAACAUGGCAGCCUUUAAACUCCAUCUCCAUGUUUGUGUGGACAGUUUAGUGACGUCUCAGAGCUGCAGAGGCUCAUCAACAUCAGCUGUUUGCUCACAUGUGGGCCACUUUAACUGCUUCAUUGAAUCACAGUGUCAGAAAGUGAAGCUGUAAACUGACCACAGACACAGUUGAGGCUGAUGAGCAGCAGGAUCCUGCAGAUCAUCUUCUCCCUGUGAGAGGAGACGGAGGUGAAGAGUCAUGUGAUCACAGUUCAGUCCUCACAUGUACCACAACCAACAUCUACAGUCUGUCUUUAGUCUUCUAAACACUCCUCUGUCUUCAUCAUCCUCAUCAUCACACACAAGGACUUCCUGACUUGACACAGUCUGGAUGCUAAUGCUAAGCUGCUGUGUUGCUCUUCUGACACAAGGUGGCGCCAAAAGACUGUGAACAACACAGAACACGUGCUGCAUGGAGGCAG
rnacentral:lncRNA from 1 species